rnacentral:rRNA from 1 species
CCUACGGGAGGCAGCAGUGGGGGAUAUUGCACAAUGGAGGCAACUCUGAUGCAGCGAUGCCGCGUGAGGGAAGACGGUCUUCGGAUUGUAAACCUCUGUCUUUGGGGAAGUAAAUGACGGUACCCAAAGAGGAAGCUACGGCUCACUACGUGCCAGCAGCCGCGUUAAUAGGUAGGGAGCGAGCGUUGUACGGAAUUACGGGGUGUAAUGGGAGCGUAGGUGGGCGAGAAAGUUGGAUGUUAAAUCUACAGGUUUAACUCGUAGCUGCGUUCAAUACUUCCUGGCUUGAGUGAAGUAGUGGCAGGCGGAAUGUAUGGUGUAGCGGUGAAAUGCAUAGAGAUUAGAAAGAACACCGAUUGCGAAGGCAGCCUACUAGGCUUUGACUGACGCUGAGGCUCGAAAGCGUGGGGAGCAAACAGGAUUAGAUACCCUGGUAGUC